UAUUGGAGUGGCCGAUGUCGGAUUAGCUAGUUGGUGGGGUAAAAGCCUACCAAGGCGACGAUCCGUAGCUGGUCUGAGAGGACGAUCAGCCACACUGGAACUGAGACACGGUCCAGACUCCUACGGGAGGCAGCAGUGGGGAAUUUUGGACAAUGGGCGCAAGCCUGAUCCAGCCAUGCCGCGUGAGUGAAGAAGGCCUUCGGGUUGUAAAGCUCUUUCGGUGAAGACGAAACGGUUCAUGCUAAUAACGUGAACUAAUGACGGUACUCACAGAAGAAGCACCGGCUAACUACGUGCCAGCAGCCGCGGUAAUACGUAGGGUGCAGGCGUUAAUCGGAAUUACUGGGCGUAAAGCGUGCGCAGGCGGUUUGCUAAGACAGGUGUGAAAUCCCCGGCUUAACCUGGGAAUUGCGCUUGUAACUGGCAAGCUAGAGUGUGGCAGAGGGGGGUGGAAUUCCACGUGUAGCAGUGAAAUGCGUAGAUAUGUGGAGGAACACCGAUGGCGAAGGCAGCCCCCUGGGUUAACACUGACGCUCAUGCACGAAAGCGUGGGGAGCAAACAGGAUUAGAUACCCUGGUAGUCCACGCCCUAAACUAUGUCAACUAGUUGUCGGGGAAGAAAUUCCUUGGUAACGAAGCUAACGCGUGAAGUUGACCGCCUGGGGAGUACGGCCGCAAGGUUAAAACUCAAAGGAAUUGACGGGGACCCGCACAAGCGGUGGAUUAUGUGGAUUAAUUCGAUGCAACGCGAAAAACCUUACCUACCCUUGACAUGCUAGGAAGCCCGCAGAGAUGUGGGUGUGCCCGAAAGGGAACCUAGACACAGGUGCUGCAUGGCUGUCGUCAGCUCGUGUCGUGAGAUGUUGGGUUAAGUCCCGCAACGAGCGCAACCCUUGCCAUUAGUUGCUACAUUCAGUUGGGCACUCUAAUGGGACCGCCGGUGACAAACCGGAGGAAGGUGGGGAUGACGUCAAGUCCUCAUGGCCCUUAUGGGUAGGGCUUCACACGUAAUACAAUGGUCGGUACAGAGGGCUGCCAACCCGCAAGGGGGAGCUAAUCCCAGAAAGCCGAUCGUAGUCCGGAUUGUAGUCUGCAGCUCGACUGCAUGAAGCCGGAAUCGCUAGUAAUCGCGGAUCAGCAUGUCGCGGUGAAUACGUUCCCGGGUCUUGUACACACCGCCCGUCACACCAUGGGAGUGGGUUCCACCAGAAGUAGUUAGCCUAACCGCAAGGAGGGCGAUUACCACGGUGAGAUUCAUGACUGGGGUGAAGUCGUAACAAGGUA
rnacentral:rRNA from 1 species